rnacentral:lncRNA from 1 species
CUUGAAUAUAAGAAGACUGAGUUCUCCUUUGAUGUUGCUUCACUUGUUAUUCAUUGACUGCUUACCCAUUUUUAACAUGUAGGAAGAGAAACUAAAAGAUAAACCUGGAUUCGAACACCUUAAUGAGCCAUUGCAUGUGUUGGUGGAGGCUGAACUUCCCAAAGAUGUGAUAAAUUCUCGUUUGGACUACGUUGUUGCCAUACUAGAAAAUCUUCUGAAACCUGUGGUAUGAACAAAAGCAAAAUUUUAUUGUUGUUUUUAAAGUUAGUCUUUCCUUUUUUUUUGUAUAUGUUUCAUAUAUUAUAUAUGUUUAAUGAUUGUUUUAAAAUCAAGUAAACAAUAGCAGAUACUUAGCUGAAUUAUUAACAGAGAAAGAGAAGCUGGGACCUUUCACACAAGUUCUUCCUCAGUGCACCGGGCUUUUUAAUCAAGGUUAUUGAAUCUUCUGUUUUCCUUUUCUUUAUCCUGCAAUAUAAAGAUUCAAUCACAUGUAUACAAGUAUGAAACACUAAUGAUUUAAACUAGUAAGGGUUCAAUUGAUUAUCGAGUAAUUCUUGACUGAGUGUAGGGUGUACAUAAGAGGCAAAGGUUCUGUCAAGGAUUCUGUUAAGGUAAAGUCAACUGUAAAUUCUUUUAUGAUAUUCAUUUUUUCAUCUCUCCUCCCAAUACAAGGCCAUAUUGGACUGCAGGUGAUGUGAAAAUUGCUCGGCUAAUCUUAUAUAUACUCUGAUCAUAUGCAUCUCCAUUUGCAUUUCACAUGCUUUAUGAAGAACUUUCAGUAUUAUGAUCAAUGAAAUGAUCACUUUUACUAAGAAAAGUACCUUGUGAAAAAAACAGUUAUGCAAAAUCAAGGUCUGACCUAAUUAAAGACGAGAGUUGGCUUCUUUUUGUGCGUUUUCUUCUUGAAUAUAAGAAGACUGAGUUCUCCUUUGAUGUUGCUUCACUUGUUAUUCAUUGACUGCUUACCCAUUUUUAACAUGUGGGAAGAGAAACUAAAAGAUAAACCUGGAUUCGAACACCUUAAUGAGCCAUUGCAUGUGUUGGUGGAGGCUGAACUUCCCAAAGAUGUGAUAAAUUCUCGUUUGGACUACGUUGUUGCCAUACUAGAAAAUCUUCUGAAACCCGUGGUAUGAACAAAAGCAAAAUUUUAUUGUUGUUUUUAAAGUUAGUCUUUCCUUUUUUUGUAUAUGUUUCAGCUCCUCGAUCUCUACCAUUCUUCAGGAUGAAUCUUUGGAUAACUAUAAGAAACAACAGUUUAGGGAGUUG